rnacentral:sRNA from 2 species
UGAAAUGCAAGCGUGGGAGGGUGAGAACCCUCGACCAGGGUUCGACAACAGGCGUAGCCUGUUGGACAGACUCUGAGCCUGCGAAGAGGCUGCCCGCAGGGCGAGCUCCGCGAGUCAAUCCCUCCCUCACCGCCA